CCUCCUUCCCUAGGAGAGCUGGGAAGGGAUAUCUUGUUUUCUCUAAACAUCAGCUCAUAAGUCCUUUCUCAUAUGCAGGGUUUUUUUAUGAUGAAACAUCACUUUGGAAAGAAUGGAAAUUUGCAAUAGCAAUCAUUAUGCUGAUGAUCAUAAAGAUAAUUCCUGUUAUACUUCAAACAAUAUGCUACUGUAAACAAAAACUCAAACACAGCACCCAAGCAAUCUCCAGAGGUGACAAUAAGGUUGCCUUUGCUCUGCACAUUUGUCAUGUUCUCUGUUCCUAAUGAACACACCUUCCUGCCCGCUCCAGGAGACCACAUGGAGGUUUUGGGAGUAGUGCUACAUCAAGCUAUGGAUGACUCAUCACUGAGGGGCUUGCAAUGGUA